CGUCGAUGAAGAACGCAGCUAGCUGCGAGAAUUAAUAGUGAAUUGCAGGACACAUUGAUCAUCGACACUUCGAACGCACUUGCGCCCCGGGUUCCUCCCGGGGCUACGCCUGUCUGAGCGUCG
rnacentral:rRNA from 1 species